rnacentral:rRNA from 1 species
GUGUCAGCAGCCGCGGUAAUACGUAGGUGGCAAGCGUUGUCCGGAUUUAUUGGGUUUAAAGGGUGCGUAGGCGGUUCUAUAAGUCAGUGGUGAAAUACGGCAGCUCAACUGUCGAGGUGCCAUUGAUACUGUGGAACUUGAGUACAGACGAGGUAGGCGGAAUUGACGGUGUAGCGGUGAAAUGCUUAGAUAUCGUCAAGAACACCGAUAGCGAAGGCAGCUUACUAGACUGUAACUGACGCUGAGGCACGAAAGUGUGGGGAUCAAACAGGAUUAGAUACCCUGGUAGUCC